CCACCACCACCACCACCGCCGCCGCCGCCACCGUUAUCAUCGAUGUUAGUCACUAAUAUCGUUUUUCAAAUGUUUUUUUGAAGCUUCACGUGUUUUGAUUGGUCUUGGGGUGUCACAACAGGAUGUUCAGGUACGACAUCACAAUUAACGUCUUAAGUCACCUUGCAGGUUUUGAAUGUUAAAAAGUAUCGUAUGUGAAUCUCCUUAUCAAAACCCUGGUUAGAUGUUAAAGCAGUAUUCAGUGAAUGGAGGUAUUGAAUUGUCCAUUUUUUAAAUGCAAGAAUGGAUCCUGAUUCAGUAUUCGAUCUGUGAGGAUUUAUUUAGAAUUCAUCACAUCUCACACAAAAACGUCCACGUUCAGGCUAGCACCUGCAGGAAAGACGUGAGUAAGAAGAAUCUUUCAGAGAGCCGAUGUUCUGGGGGGAAAGAAAUGGCUGGGAAACGUGGGUAGUGUGGGCUGUAGGAGUUCGACGCACAAAGAAGGACGAGGCGUGGGAAGACGAAUUGACCAGGCGGAGCCGGAGUGCGAGACCAGCCAGUUUCGAGAAACAGAAGCCAUCAUUGUAGCAACAGAAUAAGCAUACUAGAGAUAUAUCUGUGAACUAGAUGAUGGAGCAUAUCCGUCUGUGACUGAUUCCAGUUAGUCAAGUGGACAUCCUCUGAAGACGAAGAGGAUACUCCGGAUACCUGCUGCAUGAAAAAUUUAUAAUUAAGUGGAUGUUAAUGUAUUUGAUGUAGAGAAUAAAUUUUGUUUAAUUACAUUGUG
rnacentral:lncRNA from 1 species